GCCCCCAUAGCUCAGCUGGAUAGAGCGUCCCCCUCCUAAGGGGAAGGUCUCAGGUUCGAAUCCUGAUGGGGGCACCA
rnacentral:tRNA from 9 species